UACGUAGGGCGCAAGCGUUAUCCGGUAUUAUUGGGCGUAAAGAGCUCGUAGGCGGUUUGUCGCGUCUGCUGUGAAAGACCGGGGCUCAACUCCGGUUCUGCAGUGGGUACGGGCAGACUAGAGUGCAGUAGGGGAGACUGGAAUUCCUGGUGUAGCGGUGAAAUGCGCAGAUAUCAGGAGGAACACCGGUGGCGAAGGCGGGUCUCUGGGCCGUAACUGACGCUGAGGAGCGAAAGCGUGGGGAGCGAACAGG
rnacentral:rRNA from 1 species